CCCGCUGAACUUAAGCAUAUCAAUAAGCGGAGGAAAAGAAACUAACAAGGAUUCCCCUAGUAACUGCGAGUGAAGCGGGAAAAGCUCAAAUUUAAAAUCUGGCGGUCCUCUGGCUGUCCGAGUUGUAAUCUGGAGAAGCGUUUUCCGCGUCGGACCGUGUACAAGUCUUCUGGAACGGAGCGUCAUAGAGGGUGAGAAUCCCGUCUCUGACACGGACCGCCGACGCUUCAUGUGAUACGCUCUCGAAGAGCCGAGUUGUUUGGGAAUGCAGCUCAAAAUGGGUGGUAAAUUCCAUCUAAAGCUAAAUACUGGCGAGAGACCGAUAGCGAACAAGUACCGUGAGGGAAAGAUGAAAAGCACUUUGGAAAGAGAGUUAAACAAUACGUGAAAUUGUUGAAAGGGAAACGUUUGAAGUCAGUCGCGUCGGCCGGGACUCAGCCUUGCUAUCUUGCUUGGUGCACUUCUCGGUCGACGGGUCAGCAUCAAUUUUGACCGUCGGAUAAAGGCCGAGGGAACGUGGCAUCCUCCGGGGUGUGUUAUAGCCCUUGGUUCGCAUACGGCGAUCGGGAUUGAGGAACUCAGUGCGCCUUCAUUGGUCGGGGCUUCGCGGCUCACGUUAACGCGCUUAGGAUGCUGGCAUAAUGGCUUUAUGCGACCCGUCUUGAAACACGG
rnacentral:rRNA from 1 species